rnacentral:lncRNA from 1 species
UUGGGGCUCAGUUUCUCUGGGGGUGAGACUCGUGUGCCCUUGGGUUGGGGCUCAGUUUCAGCUUCUGCGACGGUGCCGGGCCCUUGCCCUUUCCUGGCCCCUGCUGCUUUGUGGGGUCUCUCAGGGCCCCCAAAGACUUCAGCGGAUGAAGGUCUGCAGGGACUGGGCAGGAAGGAGGCAAGGCCACACUCCCUGGUCCCGAAGCUCAGAGUGAGGUCUGAGCCUGCGGACGUGGAGGCCCUGCGCCCCAAUCUCACCCUGUGCCUCAGCUUCUCCCAAAAGCAGCAGCACUUUCCAGCACUCCUUGGAGCAGGACGCCGGCUUCCAUAUCCCAGCUAAGGGCAUUGCCCCAGCUGCACAGAUAAGGAGGAUGGGGAAACUGAGACACAGAGGGAGCUGUCCUCAAGGAGAGCACCAAAACACCCUCAUGUUACAGAUGGGGAAACUGAGACACAGAGGGAGCUGUCCUCCAAGGAAGGCACCAAGACACCCUCAUGUUACAGAUGGGGAAACUGAGGCACAGGGAUGGGUCUGGAAACUGCAAGUGGAGGGGCCCCUGUGGCCUCAUCCCAGCGCACACCCUCACAAGGCAGUCCCCCCGAGACAGGGGCACAGCCCACAUUACAGGAAGGAGACUGAGGCCCCAGACCCAGUGACGGGGAAGGGGAACCCUGGGCAUUCCCCAGGGUCGGGGGUCAGGCCUCAGCCCCUUCCCAUCCUCCUCACAGCCUGGUUGAAACACAGAUGAGAUCGUAGCCUAGAGCCUGCCCUGGGCCCCUUAGA